UGACAGUACUCCUACGGGAGGCAGCAGUGGGGAAUAUUGCACAAUGGGGGGCAAGCCUGAUGCAGCCAUGCCGCGUGUGUGGAGAAGGCCUUCGGGUUGUAAAGCACUUUCAGCAGUGAGGAAGGCGGAGUCGUUAAUAGCGGCCUCGUUUGACGUUAGCUGCAGAAGAAGCACCGGCUAACUCCGUGCCAGCAGCCGCGGUAAUACGGAGGGUGCGAGCGUUAAUCGGAAUUACUGGGCGUAAAGCGCAUGCAGGUGGUUUGUUAAGUCAGAUGUGAAAGCCCCGGGGCUCAACCUCGGAAUAGCAUUUGAAACUGGCAGACUAGAGUACUGUAGAGGGGGUAGAAUUUCAGGUGUAGCGGUGAAAUGCGUAGAGAUCUGAAGGAAUACCGGUGGCGAAGGCGGCCCCCUGGACAGAUACUGACACUCAGAUGCGAAAGCGUGGGGAGCAAACAGGAUUAGAUACCCUGGUAG
rnacentral:rRNA from 1 species